rnacentral:lncRNA from 12 species
GAAAAAGCACAACUCUGCUUUCAAUGCAGUACCUAUGGCAAAAUAGGAAGCAGAAAAACCUUCACCAAGGUCUCUCUGCUGCCCGUAGAUUGUAUAAAGGACUCCUGAGUGUUGGAUAACUGAUCAGCUGGUUUCUGAGCUUACUCUGAAGUGGAUAUCUGAGAGCAUCUGUGGUGUCCUCUGAAAGGACUUACACCCUGCUUGGCCUUCCCAGAGACUUUACAUUGACAAUUCCACCAGGCUUACCACUCACUCAGUGGUAGUUUUUUACUUCCUUUGGGUCUGAAGAAAUUUCUUGAUGUGAGGCA